GUGCCAGCAGCCGCGGUAAUACGUAGGUGGCAAGCGUUAUCCGGAAUUAUUGGGCGUAAAGCGCGCGUAGGCGGUUUUUUAAGUCUGAUGUGAAAGCCCACGGCUCAACCGUGGAGGGUCAUUGGAAACUGGAAAACUUGAGUGCAGAAGAGGAAAGUGGAAUUCCAUGUGUAGCGGUGAAAUGCGCAGAGAUAUGGAGGAACGCCAGUGGCGAAGGCGACUUUCUGGUCUGUAACUGACGCUGAUGUGCGAAAGCGUGGGGAUCAAACAGGAUUAG
rnacentral:rRNA from 1 species